rnacentral:rRNA from 1 species
CAGCAGCCACGGGAAUACAGAGGGUGCGAGCGUUAAUCGGAUUUACUGGGCGUAAAGCGUGCGUAGGCGGCUUCUUAAGUCGGAUGUGAAAUCCCUGAGCUUAACUUAGGAAUUGCAUUCGAUACUGGGAAGCUAGAGUAUGGCAGAGGGGGGUAGAAUUCCACGUGUAGCAGUGAAAUGCGUAGAGAUGUGGAGGAAUACCGAUGGCGAAGGCAGCCCCCUGGGCCAAUACUGACGCUGAGGUACGAAAGCAUGGGGAGCAAACAGGAUUAGAUACCCCUGUAGUCCCUGUCUCUUAUAC